ensembl:lncRNA
AUGGCAUUUGUAUUCCUCUGCCUCUCCUGGAAACGCUUCUCCAAUUCAAAAUUGCGUUUGGCUUGUAACCCGACGGUGGCUCUCCAACAGCUCCCGCCAUCCCGGCACACCGGGGAUCCUCCCGGGUCGCUGUUUUCCUUGCAGGCUGCCUCCUUGUACCCCCAAUCCAUCCUUGCUGAGCUGCUGCCACGGGAGUGUCUCUGUGCCAAAGCCAGCGGUGACCCCAGGACAGAUUUUUCCUUUCUCAAGGAAGUCAAAAGGUACCGGGGAAAUCCCAAACGGAGUGGAGCUCGGGGCUGGUGCUGGGUGAAGGUGGAUCGGCGCCGUGGUGACUUCCAGGCUGUCUCUGGAGCUGAAAGCCUCCGGUUCCCCGAUGUGCCCAAGCACCGCGGGGCGAGACCCGCAGGCUGCGCCGGGACGUGGGGUACACCCGGCUCUCCCCUCUCUGCUUUCUGCCCGAUGCUCGCGUGCUGUGGGAGAAGAAACCAGGCGUUGGAGCUCCUCGUCUGGAAGCAUCGAGCCAUUUGGGGAAAAGCCAGCUCAGCUCUGGACCCCUGCAUCCCCGUGUGCACAGUGCUGGAGGUCGCCGUGCGCCCCACGAGGGGCACCAGCACCCUCCGACCCCGGUGCCACUGUGCCAGCUUCAUCCCAUCCCUCCUCAUCCUCACGGAGCACCCUCCUGGCAUCACCAUGUGGGUGCCCCUCUGCCAGGUGCGUGUGUGGCUGCAAGGAGUUUUUGGGGUUUUCACCCCCGUUUGGUGA